rnacentral:rRNA from 1 species
GUGCCAGCAGCCGCGGUAAUACGAAGGGUGCAAGCGUUACUCGGAAUUACUGGGCGUAAAGCGUGCGUAGGUGGUCGUUUAAGUCCGUUGUGGAAGCCCUGGGCUCAACCUGGGAACUGCAGUGGAUACUGGGCGACUAGAGUGUGGUAGAGGGUAGCGGAAUUCCUGGUGUAGCAGUGAAAUGCGUAGAGAUCAGGAGGAACAUCCAUGGCGAAGGCAGCUACCUGGACCAACACUGACACUGAGGCACGAAAGCGUGGGGAGCAAACAGGAUUAGAUACCCUGGUAGUCCACGCCCUAAACGAUGCGAACUGGAUGUUGGGUGCAAUUUGGCACGCAGUAUCGAAGCUAACGCGUUAAGUUCGCCGCCUGGGGAGUACGGUCGCAAGACUGAAACUCAAAGGAAUUGACGGGGGCCCGCACAAGCGGUGGAGUAUGUGGUUUAAUUCGAUGCAACGCGAAGAACCUUACCAGG